GGUCCCAUCGUCUAGCGGUCAGGACAUCGGCCUCUCACGCCGAAAACACGGGUUCGAUUCCCGUUGGGAUCACCA
rnacentral:tRNA from 1 species